rfam:Neurospora tetrasperma FGSC 2509 unplaced genomic scaffold NETTE2scaffold_3, whole genome shotgun sequence.
GGGCAAUUGGUCUAGGGGUAUGAUUUUCGCUUCGCAUUGUUGGCUUUCGAUGCGCCUUUGUGAAAGGUCACCGGUUCGAAUCCGGUAUUGUCCA